rnacentral:RNase_P_RNA from 1 species
AGUAAAUCGGGCAGUUGCGGGCAUACGGUUUUUCGUAUGAAUGAGGAAAGUCCGAGCUCCAUAGGGCAGGGUGCCGGAGAAAUCCCGGUGGAGGCGACUCUAAGGAAAGUGCAACAGAAAUAAACCGCCUGAAGCUUCAGGUAAGGAUGGAAAGGCGAGGUAAGAGCUCACCGGCGCUUGGGUAAUCAAGCGGCCAUGUAAACCCCACUCGGUGCAACGCUGAUGCGAAAGUGUGAGUAUUCACACGCGCUUGCCCGGCGUAUUUUCGCGAAGCGGCUGGAGCCGUGCAGAGAUGUAUGGCGUAGAUAGAUGACUGUCUGAGACAGAACUCGGCUUACAGAUUUACUCG